rnacentral:rRNA from 1 species
UACGGGAGGCAGCAGUGGGGAAUAUUGCACAAUGGGCGCAAGCCUGAUGCAGCCAUGCCGCGUGUAUGAAGAAGGCCUUCGGGUUGUAAAGUACUUUCAGUCGUGAGGAAGGUGUUAAGGUUAAUAACCUUAGCAAUUGACGUUAGCGACAGAAGAAGCACCGGCUAACUCCGUGCCAGCAGCCGCGGUAAUACGGAGGGUGCGAGCGUUAAUCGGAAUUACUGGGCGUAAAGGGCACGCAGGCGGUUAAUUAAGUUGGAUGUGAAAUCCCCGGGCUUAACCUGGGAAUGGCAUUCAAGACUGGUUAGCUAGAGUCUUGUAGAGGGGGUAGAAUUCCAUGUGUAGCGGUGAAAUGCGUAGAGAUGUGGAGGAAUACCGGUGGCGAAGGCGGCCCCUGGCAAAAGACUGACGCUCAUGUGCGAAAGCGUGGGGAGCAAAC